rnacentral:rRNA from 1 species
UGGGGAAUUUUACACAAUGGGGGAAACCCUGAUGUAGCGACACCGCGUGAGCGAAGAAGCCCUUUGGGGUGUAAAGCUCUGUCAGCAGGGACGAAAAAAAUGACGGUACCUGCAGAGGAAGCAUCGGCUAACUACGUGCCAGCAGCCGCGGUAAGACGUAGGAUGCAAGCGUUGUCCGGAUUUAUUGGGCGUAAAGAGUUCGUAGGUGGUUCGUUAAGUCUGGUGUAAAAGACUGGGGCUCAACCCUGGGAUCGCACUGGAUACUGGCGGACUGGAGUGCAGUAGAGGCAAGCGGAAUUCCCAGUGUAGCGGUGAAAUGCGUAGAUAUUGGGAAGAACACCGGUGGCGCAAGCGGCUUGCUGGGCUGUAACUGACGCUGAGGAACGAAAGCUAGGGGAGCGAAUGGG